UUUUCAUGGAUAAAUUAAGACGUCUAUCUGUCGCCGGGUCCCAAGUUGAGUUUAAAAAAAAACUGGCAGGCCCUACCUCCUAGUCUGGUAUGAGGCAGUAUUAUUUGCUGAGAGGACAGAAGAGACUGGGGAGCAUACCGUUGGAUACCAGGCCGGCUACCAGGGCCCGGCGGUACCCCCCGAAAGCCCGGUAGCCGCAGGGUGUCCCACGGGGCCGCGUAGUGAUCACGCCCGAAAGUGCAGAAAAACAGCCCGUAAACUAUCCGGAGGGGCCCGUUUUGAAAAUGGGUCAGUGGCAUUAGCAGGCUCAAAGAGUCUGAAUUUUCUGAUGGCGCAUAUAGGUUCUAUUGAAUUUGUACUCGGUUCCUAUUGCCCUUUACCGUCUAUGUGUACGGGAAACAAUGACAGGGUGAAACCGAGUGCAAUAGUUGAACUGAUAUGCCAUCAAAAACCCUAUUGUGUUAAGAAGGCUAGUCCGGAGCGGCUUGGACCGUUAAACACACAAAGGAUUUCUCCCAGCCUUAACUGUAUUUAAACAGCGUUGACCCUAGGGUCACCAACAGUCUGAAGUAGGCUGCUGAACAGAGUCAGCUACUGUGAGGUCAAUCUGACAUCAUAUAGCUCACCAAGGCAAUUUCUACGGGUGUAAUAAAAUUGACGGAAGAUGCCAGAGCGACAAGAACAGCGAGCUGGCGGGUCAGGGACUGGCGAUGAACCCAGACCUCAUCCGUCAAGAACAAUGUCGUCAUCCAACAACCGGUAUCCAGUAGGACGCCGUCCCAUAGCGGCCUCGUUCACGUCACAGAACGGGCCCAAGCGGUACGCAGGGCCGGCUGCAGAGGUUCCCGGCAUGGUCUGAGGAGCUGAGAGUCUAAGACAGUUGUUUCACCCCUGCCCCAGCUUUCCUUGCUUUCCUACAUCGACAUGUAGAUCUGAUGUAAAUCUGAUCGUCGUCUGAACCUAGCUGUUGACUGCAAUCAUGUCCGCAUUUGUCAAGAGUUGUUUAUUUCGUGCAGACAUGCUGGCACUGACAUGCAGUGUAGGCAAAUGCAUCAUCAGUGAAAAUUUGAAUCACGCCACAAGUAUGCUACACCAUGUAACGUUAUAUACAAGAGUAUGGGUUUGUCUCACGAAUCUGGUUUUUACCAUUACUUAAUAUUGUCUGAUUAGGAUUGAGCAUCUAUUUUUCGAUCAUUUGAAUAUAGCUAUGCGUAUACGUUUGCUUUGGUCGUGCUGUUGCCAGAUUAUUUCCUUUAACAGACAACAACAUGGAUACUGAAAUCCUUAUAACCUGCCAAGUAUGUGCCCUGUCUGUAUGUUGUUCAGACUUGUUGUAAACAGCUCAGCUGAAAUAUAGCAGCUGCUGUUCGCUGAAUUCUAUACUCGUUUGUGUGCCAUGUAAAUAGUUAUUUGUAUAAACCGAUAAGUUACAAUAUAACCGAAAUGUUAGAGUAUAAAGUAGAACAAAUCUCCAAUAUGAAUGUCAGUACGAAAGACAAGAUGUUAUGUUAUGUUAAUGUGUUGGAGUGUUAAAUAUGCUUCUGGAAUGGUUUCCUUUCAGACAAACGAAAAGCUGUAUGUUCAAUGGUCAUCCAACUGGAGAAAAUAUCACAAUGUUCAAGCAUAACAUUAAACUAUAGAACUUGCAC